UGGUAGGUCAUCAUUUUCU
rnacentral:piRNA from 1 species